rnacentral:rRNA from 1 species
GACGAACGCUGGCGGCGUGCUUAACACAUGCAAGUCGAACGGAAGGCCCUGCUUUUGUGGGGUGCUCGAGUGGCGAACGGGUGAGGAAACCGUGAGUAACCUGCCCUUGACUUUGGGGUAACUUCAGGGAACUGGGGCUAAUACCGGAUAGGAGCUCCUGCUGCAUGGUGGGGGUUGGAAAGUUUCGGCGGUUGGGGAUGGACUCGCGGCUUAUCAGCUUGUUGGUGGGGUAGUGGCUUACCAAGGCUUUGACGGGUAGCCGGCCUGAGAGGGUGACCGGCCACAUUGGGACUGAGAUACGGCCCAGACUCCUACGGGAGGCAGCAGUGGGGAAUAUUGCACAAUGGGCGGAAGCCUGAUGCAGCAACGCCGCGUGCGGGAUGACGGCCUUCGGGUUGUAAACCGCUUUCGCCUGUGACGAAGCGUGAGUGACGGUAAUGGGUAAAGAAGCACCGGCUAACUACGUG